AGAGAUGCACUGGGUAUAAAGCGUGCGCAGGCGGUUUUGUAAAACAGAGGUGAAAUCCCCGGGCUCAACCUGGGAACUGCCUUUGUGACUGCAAGGCUGGAGUGCGGCAGAGGGGGAUGGAAUUCCGCGUGUAGCAGUGAAAUGCGUAGAUAUGCGGAGGAACACCGAUGGCGAAGGCAAUCCCCUGGGCCUGCACUGACGCUCAUGCACGAAAGCGUGGGGAGCAAACA
rnacentral:rRNA from 1 species